AACGAACGCUGGCGGCAGGCCUAACACAUGCAAGUCGAACGCCGUAGCAAUACGGAGUGGCAGACGGGUGAGUAACACGUGGGAACGUACCCUUCGGUUCGGGAUAACUCAGGGAAACUUGAGCUAAUACCGGAUACGUCCGAGAGGAGAAAGAUUUAUCGCCGAGGGAUCGGCCCGCGUCUGAUUAGCUUGUUGGUGAGGUAACGGCUCACCAAGGCGACGAUCAGUAGCUGGUCNGAGAGGAUGAUCAGCCACAUUGGGACUGAGACACGGCCCAAACUCCUACGGGAGGCAGCAGUGGGGAAUAUUGGACAAUGGGCGCAAGCCUGAUCCAGCCAUGCCGCGUGAGUGAUGAAGGCCCUAGGGUUGUAAAGCUCUUUUACCCGGGAAGAUAAUGACUGUACCGGGAGAAUAAGCCCCGGCUAACUUCGUGCCAGCCGCCGCAGUAAG
rnacentral:rRNA from 1 species